rnacentral:rRNA from 1 species
UUGUGGUUAAAAAGCUCGUAGUUGGAUCUCGGCGGACUGAGGGCGGUUUGCUUGCUAGUAUUACUGCCCUAUAGUCCGUAGUUUUGCCAGAGGUUUCGGGGUGCUCUUAAUCGAGUGUCCCGGGAUGCUGGCAGGUUUACUUUGAAAAAAUUAGAGUGCUCAAAGCAGGCUAUUACGCCUGAAUAUUCGUGCAUGGAAUAAUAGAAUAGGAAGUCGUUUCUAUUUUGUUGGUUUUCGGAAGUCGACUUAAUGAUUAAUAGGGACAGUCGGGGGCAUUUGUAUUCAAACGACAGAGGUGAAAUUCUUGGACCGUUUGAAGACAAACUACUGCGAAAGCAUUUGCCAAGAAUGUUUUCAUUAAUCAAGAACGAAAGUUAAAGGUUCGAAGGCGAUUAGAUACCGCCCUAGUUUUAACCAUAAACGAUGCCAGCUAGCGAUCUGCGGACGUUUUUUUUGUAGACUCCGCAGGAAGCUUCCGGGAAACCAAAGCAUUUGGGUUCCAGGGGAAGUAUGGUUGCAAAGCUGAAACUUAAAGGAAUUGACGGAAGGGCACCACCAGGAGUGGAGCCUGUGGCUUAAUUUGACUCAACACGGGAAAUCUCACCAGGCCCGGACACUGGAAGGAUUGACAGAUUGAUA